rnacentral:rRNA from 1 species
UACGUAGGGUGCGAGCGUUGUCCGGAAUUAUUGGGCGUAAAGAGCUCGUAGGCGGCCUGUCGCGUCGGAUGUGAAAGCCCGGGGCUUAACCCCGGGUCUGCAUUCGAUACGGGCAGGCUAGAGUGUGGUAGGGGAGAUCGGAAUUCCUGGUGUAGCGGUGAAAUGCGCAGAUAUCAGGAGGAACACCGGUGGCGAAGGCGGAUCUCUGGGCCGAUACUGACGCUGAGGAGCGAAAGCGUGGGGAGCGAACAGG